rnacentral:rRNA from 1 species
UACGAAGGGUGCAAGCGUUGUUCGGAAUUAUUGGGCGUAAAGGGCGCGUAGGCGGGUUUGUAAGUCGUAUGUGAAAACCCUGGGCUCAACCCGGGACGUGCAUACGAUACUGCAAGUCUUGAAUGCUUGAGAGGGAGGCGGAAUUCCAGGUGUAGAAGUGAAAUUCGUAGAUAUCUGGAGGAACAUCCGAGGCGAAGGCGGCCUCCUGGCAAGACAUUGACGCUGAGGCGCGAAAGCGUGGGGAGCAAACAGG